rnacentral:ncRNA from 18 species
CUAGAUGGAAAAAAGAAAUGAAUCUACACAAAAAAAUAUCAGGCACAGAUAAAAGGAAGUCCGGUGAAACCGGCACAGGCUUGCCCCUACUGUAUGCGGGUACGAAUGAUGACCAUUGUUCUUUCAAAGAAUGAGAAGGUCUCAGAGUAGAAUGAUCCGUAAGUCAGGAUACUUUUAUCAACGUGCUGAUUAGGU